UGUGGAUGGUUUCGUGCAAUUUGGUUUGACAAGUGUCUUAUUCUGUUUGGGCUGCUGUCACAAGAUACCACCAACUGGGUAGCUCAUAAACCACAGACAUUGACUUCUCACCGUUCCGGAGACUGGAAGCCUGAGAUCCGUGUAUCAGCGUGGCCAGGUAAGGGCCAUCUUCUGGGUGCAGACUUCUUUUUGGAUCUUCACAUACUGGAAGGGAUGAGCUGGCUCUCCAGGGCGUGCUUAAUAAGAGUAUCAAUCCCAUUCCUGUGGGCUCUGCCCUCACGACCUCAUCACCUCCCAAAGGCCCCACCCCCUAAUGCUAUCACCUUGGGAAUUAGAUUUUCAACAUAGGAAUGUGGGGGGCGGGGGCAUAGACAUUUAGACCACAGCAGUAAGUUAUCCUGAGGUGGGGUUGGUGGCAUGAGAAGGUUUUUAGUGAUUGGAUUAUGAACAGUUCACUAAAACUCAGGGCCUUGGAGAGUUAGCAGUGGUGCCCAUGGAGGGAGGCUUUCAGGCCCUAAUUCAGCCCAACACUGGAUUGGGAAUGGUAGUGAAGAACUAGCAUAGACAAAUGGGAACACAGGGUCUCAGGCUGACUGAGGCCCACACUUAGGGAAGCAGAGGAUGGCCACAGAUGCCUUGUGAGAAGUUUAUGGCAAUUCUCAGUUCUCUGACAGCGGUAAUAACCCUCCUGAUCUAUGCCCAGCUGCCCAAAGCAUCCAUCCAGAUGUGUGCUCCAGCAUUUGGCUCACUUGUUAAGCUUCUUCCCAUUAACUGCACAGUCUCUGC
ensembl:lncRNA